rnacentral:miRNA from 1 species
GCCCGUCAGAUCUCUCUCUCUCUCUCUCUCUCUCUCUCUCUCUCACACACACACACACACAGAGAGAGAGAGAGAGAGAGAGAGAGAGAGAGAAUGUGGCAUCAU